UACGUAGGUGGCAAGCGUUGUCCGGAAUCAUUGGGCGUAAAGCGCGUGUAGGCGGCUUGGUAAGUCCGCUCUGAAAGCCCGGGGCUCAACCCCGGGAGGCGGGUGGAUACUGUCAAGCUCGAGUCCGGAAGAGGCGAGUGGAAUUCCUGGUGUAGCGGUGAAAUGCGCAGAUAUCAGGAGGAACACCAAUGGCGAAGGCAGCUCGCUGGGACGUGACUGACGCUGAGACGCGAAAGCGUGGGGAGCAAACAGG
rnacentral:rRNA from 1 species